UACGAAGGGGGCUAGCGUUGCUCGGAAUCACUGGGCGUAAAGGGUGCGUAGGCGGCGGGGCAAGUCAGGUGUGAAAUCCCGGAGCUCAACUCCGGAACUGCACUUGAUACUGCCUCGCUAGAGUACUGGAGAGGAGACUGGAAUUUACGGUGUAGCAGUGAAAUGCGUAGAGAUCGUAAGGAAGACCAGUGGCGAAGGCGAGUCUCUGGACAGUUACUGACGCUGAGGCACGAAGGCCAGGGGAGCAAACGGG
rnacentral:rRNA from 1 species